CACUAUGGCUCCUGGACUCCAAAGAGGUAUUUACUACUCAUGAGAAGGUGAGGAAGUCGGAGACCCCUUAAGGAGAAAGUCCACAGAGGAAAAGGCAGGGUGUCACUCAAACACGCUGAAGUGAAUUGGUCACUGGAAAUGAGACAAAAUCUGCCAAAAGAAUCCUCUUUGGGGGAGUUUGACUAUGAGACAUUCAGAAGACGCUAACCUUCAGGAAUGGGAAACAGAAGCUGAGAGCCAGAGACAAGAAGCAGCACGCAGAAACCACGGGGAGGCACAAGGCACAGAAGUAAACAGCAGUGAUCGUCAAUAAUAACAGGAGGAGGAGAAACAGGCAAAGCACAGCCCGGUUCCUCCGACAUAAGUCGCUUCUGCAGACUUCCUCGGGCCUAGGCCGUACUUGGCCACCCCGGCUCCCCUUGGCCCAGAUGAAGGACAGAAUAUGCAGAUGCCGCAGCCAGGAAGUCAAAGUCCAAUUUGCUUUCCCCAGGCAAGGAAGGCAGAGGUCUUGGCCCAGCCAGGGAAGAAACAAGCAGAACUUAGCUGUGGACUCACUGUCUCCCUCCGCCAUGUGCCUUGCUGUGAAAGACUAAGUCAUCUGCACAGGGGACACGGUGACGCGAGCAGAUGGGUCCCUCAUCUCCUCAGAGCUAGCUUUGAAUAAAUCCUUUCAUUCCUCUUU